AAAUAUCCGAAGCUGUCAAAAUCAUUUUUAUAAUUAUACAUAACAAUUUAUCAUAAAAUGAAAAAUAAUAAAUUUAACAUCAAUAAUAAGUUAAUACAUAUUGUACCUAAAUACAUACUAUAUAUCUUAAUGUUAAGAGUUUUAUUUUCAACAUUUGUUAUAAUUUUAAUGGAUUUACGUGUUUGUGUUGGUCAUUGCUACAUAUGAUAGGAAUUUCUCUUUGCAGAAAUAAAAUAUAUAUUUCUCAACGAAACCUUCCGGAUUAUUUUACCUAAACAUUAUAGAGUGCUAUGACAAAAAGAUUGGACCAAACUUCUGUUAUUCUCCACUCUACUAAUGUUUUUCACCUUAUUUAAAUAGGUGUAAACUAGUCUUAAGCUAUUAAACACACAAAAUGUGGCAGUUUGCUGAUAGCAAUAACUUCUGACAAAAAUUAAAGGUGGUAUCAGAAUUCCGUCGUAAUCAUGUUGCACCAUGACAGUUGUACAACAUUUAAAAAGAUAUCUUCAAAUGUCAGACCAGUGUGAAAAAAGUAGAACAUGGAAAACUCUUGUAAAUUACUCUAAAUAUGGCAAAAAAAAGAAUAUUCUAAAGCAUAUUGUUAAACAAGACUUGAAUCCAAUUGUUAAUUUGUGAGACUAACCAAAUGAGAUACAAUGUAUUCAUCAGGACUCAAGGAAGUUUCUGAUUAUGAAACUUAUGUUUUGUAGGACUAGUUUAGGUCCACUUGUCCCUGUUGAGCAAACUGCAAUGUCACAGGACUAAAUUAAAGCACUGGAUGAACAUACAUCCUACACUCCAUUUUCAUCCCAAUAGUUCUGCAAUGUUUUAGGAUGUAAUACCUGUAUCAUUGUAACAAAACUGAAUGAAGAAUGCAAAACUAAUUUCAUAAAUAUAGACUGUCCUUUACAAAGUUUAGCAAUCACUCCAAUUGUGAACAUCUUUUGGGUAUGUGCUAGAAAGCAUAAUUAAACAUGAUGUACCAAUUAUGUUAGCUGUUUUGGAAAAAUUGCAACAAAAUUGGUAGGAAUCAAAGUAUUAGAAGAAUCUUGUCAAAUUAUGCAUCAGACAAGGACAUUUAUCAAUGCCAAAGGAAGUCCAAUGAGUAUUAGUAUAGUUGAUUUUUGUUCUUGAAAUAAUGAUGUAAUUUUACAAACAGAAAUACAUCUUGUCAGAACUUUUUUUUAUUAUUAACAAGAGAACAAAUAAUAUUAGUUGUCUUUUCUAUGAAGAAUAAAUGUGGCAUACCACAAAUAUUUCUGGAUACAAUAGAAAAUAUUAAACAAUAAAUUAUUUUUAUUUUUUCAUGAUUCUAAAACAAAUUGCAGAUCAUGCAACGACUAUUAUUCUUGACAUUCAAUUUCUAAACAAAUACAGUAAACAUUAAAAUAGGAAUAUUCUAAAUUUCUGAUAGCAUUAAAAACAAGGUAAGCAGCUUUUCAAAUAUUAACAAACAAGAUUAUACAUUAUUGAACUUUCAGAAUAAUAAAAUUACAAGAAGAAAAACACACUAACUUUGGUGUAAAUGAAUGAUAAUCUAUAAGACAAAUACAAUAUUGGUAUACAUUACAAUAAAUUUAGUCGUGCACAUAAAAUGAUGUCUUUAUGUAACAUUUAUAUUUAAAUUUUUAAGUAAAUUAUUUAAAAUAUUGUACAUAUAUCAUUAAAAAAAAUUACAGAAAUAAAUUCAAUAGCUAAAAUACCAAUUUUACUGAUUUAAUUUAAAGUUAUUAUUUACAGAAUAUUAAUCAUGAAAAAAAAUUGCAACAAUAAAAACUUACUUCAGCCAGACCAAGAACAGAGAGAGUAAGACUUUUCCUAAAAAUAAUUCUCAUUAUUUUGAUACAUUUGAAAAGUCUGACUUUUAUUUACCUUGAAAAAAUGGUGUUCAAUAUAGUGAAAUUUAAACAUUAAACCAAUUUCUUAAUUACGUUCAUUUGAAAAGUUUGUGUUUGCACAUACAAGGUAUAUGGAGAUAGCUAUUUGACAGUUAGGCUAGAAAUAAAGGUUUAUUUCGUGGUCAUAUAUAUACCGUUUAGAUUAUAUUUUUGUCCUUACCAACUGCUUAAAUGAACUUAAUGGCAGGGAAAUAGAAAUAUGAAAAAUUUGCUUGAGUUGAAUGAUCGUGUAAACCGGAAUGUUAUGGGCAGUAAGAAUAAGUACAAAGAAGCCGACAAUAUGAAGAACUAUUAAAUAUACGCACCACAAUGCAUUCUAUUUUGAAAUUUUGCAAAAGUUUCAUUAAAUUUUUCAAAGAUUGUGAGACUGACCCUUGAUUUUAAUUAUACAUUUUUCGAAAAGAUUUCCAUACAAAUAUUCUAUAAUGUUUAUUUUUUCUAAGAAUCGCUACUUGCAAAUCCUAACUAUGUGAAUGUAACAUUUAUAAGUGCACUAGACAUUUUUUUUACCAGUUUCAAUAUAGGUUUUGCAAGAAGUUCACCAAGACAACAAGAAGCAAUCUUGCUUACUUCCAUUCAGAAAAUAUUUCUCUGGGUAUUUCAGGGAAUUUACAUUUCUUGUGACGUCAUUUCGCAGAAGUGGUUGCAGAUACAACCUUUAGCUACACAGAGAAAAUUGGAGGACCCAAAAAGCAGACAGUAAAAUACGCAAAAGAAUUUUUGUAUUACGUGCGCGUGCCUGCAUAUAUUUAUAAAGUUGUUUACUCUUUGACCAGAUGUAUGCGACUGAAAAUCGGCAUAGAAACGGUCGCUUUGAUAUCUUAAUUUUCAUUUUUUACUGUGUUAGUGGCACAGAAGAACACACAGUGCAAAGUGAUUUCAGGGAGUAUAAAUUUAAUUAUUAUUGAUAAGGUACAUUGAUUGUAUGAAUUUGCUUGAUAUUUUUGAAUGAAUUGCAGGUUAUGCAAGAAGUAUGUAAAAAAAGAAAGUAGAAAAUAUUUUGUCUUUCAGUGUGUUAGGUGGAUGAUAAUGUUGUUUAAAGUGCACAAGUAGGAAGCGUUAUUAGUUUAGGGAGAAGACUUUACGUAGAAAGAUUGUCGAAGGACAAAAGUAAAGCAUUUUCUUUUUAUAGAUUUUUGUGAAUUCUAUGCAUGUUAUCUAUAACAGAUUUUUAUUAAAACGUUUGUAAUUUAAGUUUUUGAAAAUGAAAUUUAGAAUUUUGAUAUAUUUAAUUAAUUAAUUCUUUCUUGAUAGAUUCAGUUUUGUGUUUCUAAAUAUCUAAUAAUUAUUAUAUGUAACUAACUACUUGUAUUUACAGCAUUUUUUUUUUUAAUAUUUAAUAUUGUAUUAGCUAAGCAUUUGGGAUAGGUUAUGAUAUAUAACUGUUUGCAAUAGCUUUUGAUUUUUAUAUAUAUUUAUAUGUAUGUAUAUAAUUUAUUUUCUGUAGGAACAUAGGAUGAAAAGAAUAAAAUGUGAGAUUAUAAUAAGUUAAUUAAUUAUUCUUAACUGUUUUUAAUGUAUUUCAGUUGUUUGUAAAGAACUUUUAAUGCGAAAGAAUUUAAUUAACGUAUUUAUUUUUUAAAAUAUGCGAAUAGCCUGUUAUUUGAAUAUUACAGCAACGAAUAUUAUAUUUUAAUGUUUUAUGUUGGCCAUGUUAAAAUCAGUUUUGAACAACUGUAUAGUAUGGAAAAGUUCUGAAAUUUUAGUGGUGUGAUAAAGUAUAUUGUACUUAAUUUGUGUUUGUAUAUUGUUAAUAUUGAGGAUUUAAAGUUUACUAGUGAUUAUAUUUUAUGUAAUUAAUGUUAAUAUUAUAGUUUGUUUAGGAUUAUAGUUUUUAAGGUAAGUCGAAAUUUUAUAUAUAUAAAUAUGUAUUAAUGACAGUUGUUGUUAGUAAUUUUACAUUAUACUGUGAUAAAUUUCAGUAGUUUACUGAGAAUUGUUUUUUUAUUAAUGUUAAGCUCGUAUUUGUGAUGAGUUAUCUGACUGGUAUUGUGUAUAUUUUAAAAAUAUAUGGAAGCAUUUUAAGAAUAUAUUUUAUGGUUGAAGAAUUAAAAAAAGUGAGCUGCCUACAAAAGUCUCAAGAUUGAUUAUAUACCAACUAUGGAAUAUGCUGUAAUACUUCUCUGAAAUAACCAAGAGUGUCGGCACCUUCCCAUGGUUAUAAAUUUAGAUCUAUAAUAGGAAUGACCCUGUCUUUACAAAAUAUUUCAGGGGUGAAGAAACCUUACUAUUCAACUAAAUGGGAAAUAUAUUUGAAAAUGAAGACAAUAUGGAGUAGAAGUGGUCUUAUUUCUUACUUCUGAGGAAAAUUUUGUUACAUAAAUGUAAAUUUCUGGCUUCCAUUGUUAUAUACUGUUUUGAAAUGUUCUGUUUGUUACAUUUUAAAAUAUUGAAUACCAUGCAAUAUUCACACAAUGUAUUUUUAUAGCAUGAUAAUUGAUGAGAAAUCAGGUAUUUUAUUGUCCAAGUUAAGAGAGAAAAGUGUUAAGAACAGAAGGAUUUUACUUACUAGAAUUUUGAAUUACAGAAAGAUAAUUGUGUAAAUAAUUGUCAAUUUUCUAGUUGCGAUAAGAUUCAAAUGUUAAUUUUCUUUUAAGCUGUGUAAUUUCACUUCUCGUUUUUGUCUGUAAUGUUUUAAAUACUGUAUUUUUGAAAUUAAUGUUAAUAUACUUAUUAGAUAAAUUCUUCAUUAUGUAGAUACAGUUACCUUGAAGUUUUUUUGUAUAAUCAUGUUAUACCUGUAUACAGUAUAACCAUUCAUAUAUUAUUUUAUUCAGUUUAUAUAAAUUCUAAUAUUUUUAAUGGUUUACUAAUCUGCAUCAGUAUUUACAAUUGGUAAAGUUAGAUACAAAAAUGAGGAAAAAAAAUUGAAAUAUUUUAAUAAACUUGUAAUUAAAUUUUUAAAUAAACAUUAUGCAAAUAAAAUAAAUUUUGAUGUGGCAUUUUCUUUACUGAAGACACUUACAGUGGAGCAAGUUCAGAGUUAUUACUUUUCAUAAAGAAUUUAGAUUCAGAAUUCAAAGUGAUUUUCCACAUCUUAUAUAGAAAGAAUUGGAACCUUCUAUUGUCCCAAUGGCAUUUUAUGGAUCUUUGGUCCUAUGGAAAAUUUUUAGGAGGGGGCAAACGCUGCUCUUGCACUUCCUGGUGAUCGAGUUAUGUAACCUUAUACCCUCAACCAACAUUUUCGCUUUGUCUUUCUGUUUGUAUUAAUGCAAACAGAAAGACAAUGUGUUCUAUAAUCUACUUGUGAAAAAUCCCAAAAAAUUUAAUAAAAAUUUACUAAUAUAAUUAUUUGUCUCCAACCUUUGCCCCCACUGCAAAAUUUUGGAUACUAUGGGGCCAACCCUAAUACACAUUUAUUACUAAAAGUUUUUAAUAAAUUAUAAAUGAAUCUGAUAUGUUAGUUUCUUUGCAAAUUAAAUUGUUUCAGCAAUGAUCAAAAACACUUAAUUUCAGAUUGUA